GGAGGAUCAGAUCUGAGCGCGACCUCUGUCACUGUAAGGAGGAUCAGAUCUGAAAAAUUUAUCUGAGACUUUGGGUAUGAUUAUGCAUGAAGACUCACGCUUGAUCAGGUUCUCAGAUGGGAUAGUUUCACUGCUUGAGUCUGAAAUUGAUAUUAAUCUCAGGAACUAUCAAAAGCAAAGCAAAGCUCUGUCCCAAGCUCUUAACCAAUUCUCAGGUAAUCAAUAUUUCCAAAACCUUUUCUUUUUCUCUCAAUUCCCUAUAACCUAAAUUCUACAACUCUGAAUCGAUGUACUGAUUUAUGAUGAUGUAAUAUGGAUGAAAUUAUGAAGCUUGGUGACUAAAGUUUGAUCUUUUUGGUGAAUAAAUUGGUUCAUAUGAUUUUUUGUUCAGAUCUGAAAUUUUUUGGAAUUACUUUGUUCAGAAAGCAUUGAUGAUUGCUGGUUCAAGAGUAUGCGUCUAUUAUUUUUUUUACAUAUUAGAUUUGAACUGGUGUUUAACCUGCGAUUAGUUAUCAUCUGAUGAUUUCCUUUUCUGCUUGUAUGAUCAGUUUUCGGUUCCAAUCAUGUUAAUAGUUGUACACAUGAUUAUUGUUCAAUAGAGACUUGAGUUAUUUAUAA